rnacentral:tRNA from 1 species
GCCUCAGUGGCCAAGUGGUAAGGCGUCGGUCUCGUAAACCGAAGAUCAUGGGUUCGAACCCUAUCUGAGACU